rnacentral:rRNA from 1 species
UGGCUCAGGAUGAACGCUGGCGGCGUGCUUAACACAUGCAAGUCGAACGGAACUGCUUUUGAAGAUUCUCUUCGGAGAUGACUCAGUUGUAGUUUAGUGGCGGACGGGUGAGUAACCGCGUGAGUAACCUGCCCUUGAGAGGGGGAUAACGUUCUGAAAAGAACGCUAAUACCGCAUAAUACUAUUGAACCGCAUGAUUUGAUAGUCAAAACUCCGGUGCUCAAGGAUGGACUCGCGUCCGAUUAGCUAGUUGGUAAGGUAACGGCUUACCAAGGCGACGAUCGGUAGCCGGACUGAGAGGUUAAACGGCCACAUUGGGACUGAGACACGGCCCAGACUCCUACGGGAGGCAGCAGUGGGGAAUA